rnacentral:rRNA from 1 species
UACUCCUACGGGAGGCAGCAGUGGGGAAUUUUGGACAAUGGGCGCAAGCCUGAUCCAGCCAUUCCGCGUGAGUGAAGAAGGCCUUCGGGUUGUAAAGCUCUUUCGCAAGGGAAGAAAGAUUACUCUCUAACAUAGAGUGAUUAUGACGGUACCUUGAUAAGAGCACCGGCUAACUACGUGCCAGCAGCCGCGGUAAUAC